rnacentral:rRNA from 1 species
UACGAAGGGGGCUAGCGUUGCUCGGAAUCACUGGGCGUAAAGCGCACGUAGGCGGAUUGUUAAGUCAGGGGUGAAAUCCUGGAGCUCAACUCCAGAACUACCUUUGAUACUGGCGAUCUCGAGUCCGGGAGAGGUGAGUGGAACUGCGAGUGUAGAGGUGAAAUUCGUAGAUAUUCGCAAGAACACCAGUGGCGAAGGCGGCUCACUGGCCCGGUACUGACGCUGAGGUGCGAAAGCGUGGGGAGCAAACAGGG